rnacentral:rRNA from 1 species
UACGAGGGGGGCGAGCGUUGUUCGGAAUUAUUGGGCGUAAAGGGUGCGUAGGCGGUUCGGUAAGUUUCGUGUGAAAUCUUCGGGCUCAACUCGAAGUCUGCACGAGAUACUGCCGGGCUUGAGUGUGGGAGAGGUGAGUGGAAUUUCCGGGUGGAGCGGUGAAAUGCGUAGAGAUCCGGAGGAACACCGACGGCGCAGGCAGCGCCCCUGGCUGUGAUAGCUGACACUGAGGCACGAAAAGCUGGGGGGAGCAAACAGG